rnacentral:rRNA from 1 species
GUGGCGAACGGGUGAGUAACACGUGAGUAACCUGCCCCCGAUUUCGGGAUAAGCCCGGGAAACUGGGUCUAAUACCGGAUAUGACCAGAGGACGCAUGUUCUGUGGUGGAAAGUUUUUCGAUCGGGGAUGGGCUCGCGGCCUAUCAGCUUGUUGGUGGGGUAAUGGCCUACCAAGGCGACGACGGGUAGCCGGCCUGAGAGGGCGACCGGCCACACUGGGACUGAGACACGGCCCAGACUCCUACGGGAGGCAGCAGUGGGGAAUAUUGCACAAUGGGGGAAACCCUGAUGCAGCGACGCAGCGUGCGGGAUGACGGCCUUCGGGUUGUAAACCGCUUUCAGCAGGGAAGAAGCGAAAGUGACGGUACCUGCAGAAGAAGUACCGGCUAACUACGUGCCAGCAGCCGCGGUAAUACGUAGGGUACGAGCGUUGUCCGGAAUUAUUGGGCGUAAAGAGCUCGUAGGUGGUUGGUCACGUCUGCUGUGGAAACGCAACGCUUAACGUUGCGCGGGCAGUGGGUACGGGCUGACUAGAGUGCAGUAGGGGAGUCUGGAAUUCCUGGUGUAGCGGUGAAAUGCGCAGAUAUCAGGAGGAACACCGGUGGCGAAGGCGGGACUCUGGGCUGUAACUGACACUGAGGAGCGAAAGCAUGGGGAGCGAACAGGAUUAGAUACCCUGGUAGUCCAUGCCGUAAACGUUGGGCACUAGGUGUGGGG